GUACGGAAGGCAGCAAUUAGGAAUCUUGCGCAAUGGGGGAAACCCUGACGCAGCGACGCCGCGUGAGCGAUGAAGUUCUUCGGAACGUAAAGCUCUGUCCUACGGGGAAGAAACAAAUGACGGUACCCGUAGAGAAAGCCCCGGCUAACUACGUGCCAGCAGCCGCGGUAAUACGUAGGGGGCGAGCGUUGUCCGAAUUUACUGGGCGUAAAGCGCGUGUAGGCGGCUCUUUAAGUCAGAUGUGAAAUCCUGCGGCUCAACCGCAGAACUGCAUUUGAAACUGGAGGGCUUGAAUUUGGGAGAGGAAAGUGGAAUUCCUGGUGUAGCGGUGAAAUGCGUAGAUAUCAGGAGGAACACCCGUGGCGAAGGCGGCUUUCUGGCCCAACAUUGACGCUGAGACGCGAAAGCUAGGGGAGCGAACGGGAUUAGAUACCCCGGUAGG
rnacentral:rRNA from 1 species